AAGUCAUCAAAAAUAAAUGGGAGGACUGAUCCUGACUGGAAGUAUUGUGUAGAGCUUCCUCCAAUCAGGUCGCAGGACGACAAAACUUAUAAAUAUGUUGAGUGUAAUUUUUGUAAGAAGAGCAUCACUGGCGGAAUUAAAAUGUUAAAGGAGCACCUUGCAAAGACUCAUAAGAAUGUUGCAGGUUGUUCACGAGUUUCCGUUGAGGUUCAAGAAGAAAUGAAGUUGUUUAUGUUAAAAAAGAUUGAGGGUAAAAGAACAGCAUUCGAAGAAAUGGAUGAGGUUUGUCGAGUGAGGAAUGCAAGAGUCAUUUGCUACCAAAGGCAAUCCUCAAUUAAAAAAGCCAACAGUCUCAAGCGCUGUCAAGUUCAGCAAACAAGUUUACUAACCUAUUGAUUUUUUUAUACAACAAGCAAAUAUUGGUAGCGAGAGUGAUGAAUGUUUCACGGUUUAUCAAACGCACCAAGUUACCUUGAAUGAGAAUUGGAAGGAAAACAAAAGAAUACGGAUUUGCAGGUUUCUCCUAUGAGAAUUCAAUACCGUUCAAUGUAGCAACAAGCCAUUCAUAUUGGGCCAUGAUGAGGAUGUAUGUGGAUUUGGAAGGUGAUUUAAACCCCCAACUAUGUAUGAGUUGCGAACAUGGAUUUUAAAAGAAGAGAAAAACGCUACUUUUUUCUUUGUCGAUGAAGCGAAACCUUCAUGGAUUGAGACCGGUUGUAGUAUUAUGUCUGACGGUUGGACUCACACAAAUGGGCGUACAUUAAUAAAUUUUUUAGUUAAUAACCCGAAAGGUACUUACUUUUUAAAGUCCAUUGAUGCAUCGGAUCAAGUAAAAGAUGCAAAGUUGUUUUUCAAAUUACUUGAUGAAGUCAUUGAGGAAGUUGGAGAAAAGAAUAUUAUCCAAGUGAUAACAGACAAUGCCUCGGCUUAUAAAGUAGCAGGGCGAAUGUUGAUAGAAAAAAGGAAAAAAUUGUAGUUAAGUUACCCGUCCAUACUUCUGUGUUCACCAAGGCCAAGAAAAUAAUAAUUUUUAUAUACGGUCAUGCAUGAGUGUUAGCAAUGGUAAGAAAAUUUACCGGGGGAGAUUUGGUGAAACCUGCUGUUACUCGAUUUGUCACUGCAUUUCUCACUUUGCAAAGCUUGUUUGGAGCAAGGGAUGGACUUGAAUCCUUUUUUACUUCAAGAAAGUAGAAAACCAGUGCUAAUGCAUCUUGAUCAUUGUGGAAAAAUGUGUGCAACAUAAUUCUAAAAAGCAAGUCGUUUUGGCCAGGUGUUGCUUAUGUGCUCAACACAACAAAGUCCUUAGUUAGAGUUCUUCGAAUGGUGGAUUCCGAGAAGUAUCCACCAAUGGAACUUAUUUACGAAGCUAUGAAUAGGGCUAAAGAAAAAAUUGCUCAAAAUCUAAAUAAUGAUGUUGCAAAGUAUCAGAUUGUUUGGGAUAUUGUGGAUAGUCGGUGGGAUUGUCAGCUUUACCUGCAUUUGUAUGCUGCUGCAUAUUUUCUAAAUCCAUAUGAACCCUCAUUUUCUUCUCGUCAUGAAAUUAAACUGGGACUUGAUUCUUGCAUGGAGCUAUUGAUUGGCGAUUCAGAAGAAAGGGAGAAAGUAGAUUUGCAUUAGAAAGUAGAUUUGAAAGUAGAUUGAUUCUUUUCGAAAUGCUCAAGGUUUAUUUGGACGGGUAAAUGCAGUAAGCACGAGGAAGAAGAGAAGUCCAGCGGAUUGGUGGAGAGCUUUUGGAGAUCAAAAGCCUGAACUUGCAAAAUUUGCCAUUAGAAUCUUGAGUUUGACUUGUAGUGCUUCUGGAUCAAGUGCAUACAAAGAAAAGAAAUCGCUUGAAGCAGGCGAAACUCGAUGAUUUGGUUUACAUUAUGUUCAAUUUGAAACUAAAAAAUAGAAGUUAAAGAAGAAAACAAUUGAAGAUCCCCUUUGUUUCAAUGAUGUAGACUCAGGCGAACAAUGGAUCUCAGAGCUCCAAGAUCCUGAGGUAAAGACCUAUGAAGAUCUUGAUGCAAAUAUAGCUCUUGAUGACCCUUUUGAAGUCAAAGAAGGUGAAAUAUCUCAACAUACAAAGAAGAGAAAGAAGAAAAACAAAAGGUAUAGAAAAAAUCCAAAUAAUGACGAUGAGGAGGAUUUUCCACAUGCCAGGAAGAAAAGCGAAGAAGAGGUUGAAUUGAAUUUCAUGAACGAUUCUCUCAAGGAUCCUAAUAGUAGCACUAGUUUUAGUGACAAUAGCGAUGAUUGAUGGGUUAACACUUAUGAGAUAAGGCUAUAUUUAUUUCGAAUCUGUAAAA